CUUGCACAAAGUCAGAUGUGCAGGUCAAGUUGGAGGACCACAAACUAGUAACUGCCUGCCUGCCUGUGGAACGUCGGAGUCAGCUGACUGCUGAGUCAGCUUCAGGCCCUGUUUCUGAAGUUCAGUCAUCCUUAAGAGAUUCUGAGGAAGAAGUAGAUGUGGUGGGAGAUAGCAGUGCCUCCAAAGAGCAGUGUAAUGAGAACAGCAGUGACCCUCUGGACACGGGGUCUGAGUGCUUGCCAGCCUCUGGAGAGCCUGAACUGUCCUCUAUGCUAGACUGUGUUUCAGCUCAAAUGACAUCUUUGUCAGAACCUCAAGAACAUCGAUACACCCUGAGAACUUCACCUCGAAGGGCGGCCCAAACCAGAGGUAGUCCCACUAAAAACACAUCUCCUUACAGAGAAAAUGGACAAUUUGAGGAGAAUAAUCUCAGUCCCAAUGAGACAAACACAACUGCUAGUGAUAAUGUAAGUGAGUCUCCCACAAAUCCUGUUGAGAUCUCUCAAGAUGAAAAGGUUCUAUGUUGUGACUCUGAAAACUAUGGAAGUGAAGGACUAAGUAAGCCAUCUUCAGAGGCCAGAAUGAAUAUCGGACAUUUGCCAUCUGCCAAAGAGAGUGCCAGUCAGCACACUGCGGAAGAGGAAGAUGAUGACCCUGAUGUUUAUUACUUUGAAUCAGAUCAUGUGGCACUGAAACACAACAAAGAGUAUGUGUAAAUAUGGUAACCAUGAGUUCUGCUUUGCCUAUCACUCCCGGGUUUCAGGAUUGGUUACUAGAUGUCUGUCCGUAAUGCUCUUGUUACAGAUGAAGUUGACACUGUAGCAGUAAGUUUAGGUCUAACAUACAUUUUAAACUCAAACUAAGAGCCUGGUGUCGUGACAUUGACCUUCGUUACUCCUCUCUGUAGUUCUAGUGUCCCACGUGUCUAAAUAAGAAAGGACCAUGAAAGCAUGGGUGGUGUGUGAGAAAAGAAAAGACCAGUGUAAAGUGUUAACACGAGUGCUGUCAAUGCUGCAUCCAUCCAGCUCACUCUGGCUUAGACUUGUAGAGAUUUGUAAUGUCUGCCUUUCCUCUCUGGGUGAAAUAAAUAAUGAGCAUGGAGCUGCAGACUAGAAAUUAUUUACACUUCAUUCCCCAUUAAAAUGUUUGAUUU
rnacentral:lncRNA from 1 species